UUCCCAGUCUUAAGACCUAAAAAACAAACAAACAAAAACUGAAACUAGAAAUUCCAUUUUACCCUACUAUUCCUCUUUUUAGGGGUUUUCCCAAAAGAGUUAAAGGCAUCAUAUUAUAGUGAUAUAUGCAUAUCUAUAUUUAUAGCACCACAAUUCAUAAUAGCUAAGUCUUGGAAAUGGCCUAUAUGUGCUUCAAUGGGUGAAUGGAUAAAGAAAAGGUGGUAUUUACACUCAAUAAAGUACUACUCUGCCAUGAAGAAAGAUAAAACUUGAGUCAUUUGUAGGGAAAUGGAUGUAUCUUGAAACACAAUGUUAACUGUAAUCAGAUGCACAAAAUUAAAUAUCACAUGGUUUCUCUUAUGCGAGAAACCCAAGUUAUAAGGAACAAAAUAAAAGAUAAUAGGAAUUAGGGAGAUGUAUCUUUCUCAAAGGAAAGUGACUAAGACAGAGGGCAAGAAGAGGGAAAGGGGAUGUAAAAAGUAAUUAAGAAGUGUUACAUGCAUCCACUUGGAAUGUAAAUAUGUCCUACAAACAUGUACUAAUAAAAACUAGGAUAAUCAUAUUUAAAAUAUUGUAGCCAUUAGUCACACAAAAAAUACUGAACCACAUACAGCCUGGUUUUAAAAAAAAGCCUAAACUCAAUACAACUUAGACUUCUCAGCUGACAGCACUUCAUCUCUUCACAAGGUCAUGGUGUACAGUAGUAAAAUUUAAAUAACCUAAAACCAUUUAAAUAUAAAUGUAGCCUCUUUAGAAAAUUUCAGCUCCCAUUCCACAAAUAUAUUCAUACAUCUAGAUCAGUAUUGGCUAUGUAAAGUACAAUCUUGAAGAAAAAUAUUUCAUGCAACCUUUUUUUCUCUUAAAAUCCAGGGUCUGCAAAAUUGUUAUUUGGAAAAACCAUGCUGGUGUUUUCAGCAAGCAUUCAGGAAGUGUCUCCUAUGUGUCAGAACAGCAGCGCAUGGUUCACAGGACAAGGUUAACAGAUAGAUUGAUCAGAAGCUUUGGGUAAAGCUCACAGAAGGAACCCAGGAUCACAUACCAUAACUUUGGAGCCAGAAAAGCUUUAGCAGUGCAGAUGAGAAACUUAAUGCCAAUUCAUUCAGCAAAUAUUAAUCAAGACCAACAUGCUUCUCUAGAAAUUUACUGCAGAACAGGUCAAACAAGACCUGAGAGUUGAUUUCUCAUCAGGAGGGGGAACAAAGAGACAAAUAAGGUGACAGAUUGACUUAAGUACUAUGAAGAAAAUAAGGUGAUGAGAAAAACAAAAACUGAGUAAGCUCUUUUCCUAGGCCUUGCUUAUUCUUUGCCUUUUGGAUAGUGAUACUGAAUAACACUGCAGCCUACAACCAUUCUACCCACCACUGAACUGAGGUUAUGAUAACUACUUGUUAUGGAUUAAGAACUGGUGGUCAACUUAACACCAGCUGGAUUACAUCAGCAUGGCAUUGAGCGAAGAUGCUCCACCUGAGGAAAAUUGCCUGGAUAAAUAGGUGGAGAAGAAAGGAGGUGUUGAAACAUUGGGAUGUUAAUGCGUUGUUGCAUUGAAGCAUUGUGGGUUCUCCUAUGAGUUGCUGUUUGAGCCAUUGGUUCUCCUGGGAAGAAGCUAUGGUCCUCACAUGGAGUAUUGCUUCCUGGCUCCAGAGGGGAAGGCAUGUGCCACUUGGUCUCCAGGAUGAACUUGUCACGCUGGCUUGCUGACACAUACCCAACUGUGUGUGUCGUCAGAGGAGCUCGGAGCCUCCGGUUCGCGGAGGAUGGCUGUGGUGCUUUCAGGAUAGCCCUGGUCUUUGUUGUGAGUGUGACUUCUCAGCUCCAGCAUAGAACCCUCAUCCCACAAGUACAGCUCCUUCACUCUGCCGGCAUGGACUUUCUGGCUUCCACCGCUGACCUUUGGGCCUUCCCAGCAUGGAUCCAUAAAAGACUGGCGUAGUCCUUCUUGUGGGCUCUGGACCUCCAGUUGGGAGACACUGUCAUGAGCUCUAGGUUUUUAUCUGGACUCAUGUGGGACUUUGCUGUGGGAUUUAGGCCUUUGACUAAAUAUUCUAUGUCUUUGUUGUCUCAGAUAGAUUUCCUGCAUUUUUGUGUGAACUCCCAGUGAUAUUAAAAAAUAAUAUAAACUCCA